GUCAGCUGCUUGGUCAGGGAAACAGAGCGGAGUGGAACCGCGAUCACAGGCGAACGUAGGCAGUUAGUUUGCUGGUGUUUCGUGUGUUGAUGGGUGCGUGUGCAGUCCUGGUAAAUGAAUCGCGGAAGCGUCUUUGGGUUUAACGCUGAACGAGCAUGUAAAUAGAACGAAUCUUGAUCUCCGCUGGGACUCUCUCUCUCUCUCGUGAACAGGUGCGUAUUAAUAACAAAGCUAUGAUCCCCUGCUCUGAUGAUCCCCUGCUCUGUACGCUGGGAAUAUUGUUAUCUUAUGUCUCUCAAUAGACUGUGCUGGUGUUACAGGACGUUUGCUUAAUUGCUGUCGUGUACUGGGGCGGAUGGCCUAGCCCUAACCAAAGUAGGUAUCUGGUAGCCUAAUUACCAAAUGAAUUGUUAAGACUUUGGCCUUACAAAGACUUACUCUGACUCUGUGUGUAGCCCGUCGUCAUACCCGGUCCCGUGCGCUCAGUUAUUUGGGCCUACUGGCUUCUGCGUGCUCUGGCUUCUGCGCGCUCUGCCGUUUGCAUGCUUCCAUUCACACAUGGCUAGUCCUUUGUGAAGGAAUUCCAACCCUCGUGAGUGUUUGAAGGUUUACAACUUAUUUCAAUGUUUGCUACCAGUAAGAUGAAGAGGCGUGUGAUAUGUGAAUAACUAAAUCAGUGUGUUUCUGUCUUCGUAGGUCUUCUCAGUUUGUUUACUUUGUUUGGACAUCAGUCACUGUUUUCUCAUGUAUGAAAAUUGCGUAUGAUUUUAUCUUGCAUUCAGGUCUAUGAACUUAUAUUAAUGUCUUGUUCCGAUCAUUGGUAUUGUCUCGUAUUGAGUUAAAUUGUUGUA